AAACUUCUGAAAUACUUCAGACACAAACUGGGAUACAGAGAGAAGAGUGGUGAGUUUAGGUCGAUCAACUCAGAGCUCUGACGUGGCUCUACCACCACAGGCCAACCCCGAAUAUACAACUUCUACAUGUGAGCAGACAGUUGUGUUAUACAAACAAAGUGGGUUGGACUGAAUGAUAAAUACAAGAAGAUCGCAACAUCACGCACACACCCAAGAAAAAAAAAAAAGAAGAAAAGGAA